ACGAAUUGUGCGAACGUUAUUCGGAAUCACUGGGCUUAAAGGGUGCGUAGGCGGUCAUGUAGGUCUGAUGUGAAAUCCCACGGCUCAACCGUGGAACUGCGUUGGAAACCCCAUGACUGGAGUAGGACAGAGGUGAGCGGAACAGAUGGUGGAGCGGUGAAAUGCGUUGAUAUCAUCUGGAACACCGGUGGCGAAAGCGGCUCACUGGGUCCUAACUGACGCUGAGGCACGAAAGCCAGGGGAGCAAACGGGAUUAGAUACCCCGGUAGUCCUGGCCGUAAACGAUCUGUACUAGUCUGUGGAGACCCCCACAUCUUCACGGACGUAGCGAAAGUGUUAAGUGCUCCGCCUGGGGAGUAUGGUCGCAAGGCUG
rnacentral:rRNA from 1 species